rnacentral:lncRNA from 1 species
AGCAGCAGGAGCCGCCGCCGCCGCGGUUGAUGUGGUUGGGCCGGGGCUGAGGAGGCCGCCAAGAUGCCGCAGUCAAAGUCCCGGAAGAUCGCGAUCCUGGGCUACCGGUCUGUGGGGAAAUCCUCAUUGACGAUUCAAUUUGUUGAAGGCCAAUUUGUGGACUCCUACGAUCCAACCAUAGAAAACACUUUUACAAAGUUGAUCACAGUAAAUGGACAAGAAUAUCAUCUUUAACUUGUAGACACAGCCGGGCAAGAUGAAUAUUCUAUCUUUCCUCAGACAUACUCCAUAGAUAUUAAUGGCUAUAUUCUUGUGUAUUCUGUUACAUCAAUCAAAAGUUUUGAAGUGAUUAAAGUUAUCCAUGGCAAAUUGUUGGAUAUGGUGGGGAAAGUACAAAUACCUAUUAUGUUGGUUGGAAAUAAGAAAGACCUGCAUAUGGAAAGGGUGAUCAGUUAUGAAGAAGGGAAAGCUUUGGCAGAAUCUUGGAAUGCAGCUUUUUUGGAAUCUUCUGCUAAAGAAAAUCAGACUGCUGUUGAUGUUUUUCGAAGGAUGAUUUUGGAGGCAGAAAAAAUGGACGGGGCAGCUUCACAAGGCAAGUCUUCAUGCUCGGUGAUGUGAUUCUGCUGCAAAGCCCGAGGACACUGGGAAUAUAUUCUAGCUGAAGAAGCAAACUGCCCGUUCUCCUUGGAGAUAAACUAUGCUUCUUUU